AUAUUUAUUUAUUGGUUUAUUCGGGUAUCCAUCAGCUUUUGCCGAAAUAGCAGCCAUUCUUCCUGGGGUCCACACAAAAACACAUUAAACCCGAAAUUGAAAUAGACAUCGAUUAACACGAAGUAACCCAUUACAGCACAUAGUUAGUUAUCGUAGCUGCUCUGGGGUGUCUCUCAACACAAGUCACUCAUUCGUGGCUGGUGUAAUACAUUCACAAGGCUAAAUGAGAAACAGAAUAGAACAGCAGACCCUUUCUUAUGUGAAAAGGGAGGGUGGAUUUGGUGUUAAAUAAGCUAAACCACACACACACGGUUGUUUUAAAUGAGCUUACCAACGUGUGUAUGAGGAGAUAGCAGGUCCCUCUCUACCCUGGAGGAGACGACAGCACACAGUCGAGCAGAGGAAUGAUUAUUAUUACUAACAAACAUGGAGAGAGAAAUACUGACAAAAUGCUUACGUUUCAGUCAAAUUGGGAACAGCUUGAGCAAUAGCUAGCUUUACAAGGGUGGACAAAUUAAUGGAGUUUGAAGGCUACAGUAUAUAACUCGGAGUUUGUUGGUCCUCAGUGGUGGCACUCCCAGUCAACACCACCGCAUAAGAUUUCCUGCUGCAGUUGCUUGAGAGAUGUCCAGUUUGCAGCCGAACAUGCAGCAUAGAGAAAACCAUCAAGGAGGCCCUCAUCAGCCUCAUGCAGACAUGCCCUCACUACCAGUAUCUUUGAUAAGGGGCCAGAAGCUGAUCUACGCUGAUAUGCCCAUCAACAUGGCUCUGGCAAAGACCUCACCUCCAGUCUCACCUCUUGCCUGCUCAGCAACAGUUGACGAUGGGGGAGAUCAGAAUUAGAAAUGUAUGGAGCCAGCACAUGAAAACUUGCAAGAUGAUGUGAUGAAGUCCAGACUAAAAGACGGG
rnacentral:lncRNA from 1 species